rnacentral:rRNA from 1 species
ACGGGUGAGUAAUGUCUGGGGAUCUGCCCGAUAGAGGGGGAUAACCACUGGAAACGGUGGCUAAUACCGCAUAACGUCGCAAGACCAAAGAGGGGGACCUUCGGGCCUCUCACUAUCGGAUGAACCCAGAUGGGAUUAGCUAGUAGGCGGGGUAACGGCCCACCUAGGCGACGAUCCCUAGCUGGUCUGAGAGGAUGACCAGCCACACUGGAACUGAGACACGGUCCAGACUCCUACGGGAGGCAGCAGUGGGGAAUAUUGCACAAUGGGCGCAAGCCUGAUGCAGCCAUGCCGCGUGUAUGAAGAAGGCCUUCGGGUUGUAAAGUACUUUCAGCGGGGAGGAAGGCAACAAGGUUAAUAACCUUGUUGAUUGACGUUACCCGCAGAAGAAGCACCGGCUAACUCCGUGCCAGCAGCCGCGGUAAUACGGAGGGUGCAAGCGUUAAUCGGAAUUACUGGGCGUAAAGCGCACGCAGGCGGUCUGUUAAGUCAGAUGUGAAAUCCCCGGGCUUAACCUGGGAACUGCAUUUGAAACUGGCAGGCUUGAGUCUCGUAGAGGGGGGUAGAAUUCCAGGUGUAGCG